CCUAACCCUAGAAGCAAUGCCGGUGUGGCUGAUGGGUCAUGUGUGCAUCAACAGGUAAGAGAGAGAGGCCAUGUCUAUGCUUGGUGUUCUGACCUAUGAACAACUGAGUGACUAGUAGCCUAAUGGC